rnacentral:rRNA from 1 species
CGGGCGCGCUACCAUGCAGUCGAACGGUAACAGGAAGCAGCUUGCUGCUUUGCUGACGAGUGGCGGACGGGUGAGUAAUGUCUGGGAAACUGCCCGAUGGAGGGGGAUAACUACUGGAAACGGUAGCUAAUACCGCAUAACGUCGCAAGACCAAAGAGGGGGACCUUCGGGCCUCUUGCCAUCGGAUGUGCCCAGAUGGGAUUAGCUAGUAGGUGGGGUAACGGCUCACCUAGGCGACGAUCCCUAGCUGGUCUGAGAGGAUGACCAGCCACACUGGAACUGAGACACGGUCCAGACUCCUACGGGAGGCAGCAGUGGGGAAUAUUGCACAAUGGGCGCAAGCCUGAUGCAGCCAUGCCGCGUGUAUGAAGAAGGCCUUCGGGUUGUAAAGUACUUUCAGCGGGGAGGAAGGGAGUAAAGUUAAUACCUUUGCUCAUUGACGUUACCCGCAGAAGAAGCACCGGCUAACUCCGUGCCAGCAGCCGCGGUAAUACGGAGGGUGCAAGCGUUAAUCGGAAUUACUGGGCGUAAAGCGCACGCAGGCGGUUUGUUAAGUCAGAUGUGAAAUCCCCGGGCUCAACCUGGGAACUGCAUCUGAUA